UAAUUCAAGGGAGUGGGACGAGUGAACUUGUUCACGUAGCAAUCGGAAGUGGUUCCAAGAAAAGCCUCUAAGCUUCAGUCAUACGAGACCGUACCGCAAACCGACACAGGUGGGCGAGAUGAGUAUUCUAAGGCGCUUGAGAGAACUCGGGAGAAGGAACUCGGCAAAUUGGUACCGUAACUUCGGGAAAAGGUACGCCUCGGUAGCUUGGUCACUUUACUGUGAUAGGGCGAAAAGGUUGCAAUAAAAUGGUGGCUGCGACUGUUUAAUAAAAACACAGCACUCUGCAAACACGAAAGUGGACGUAUAGGGUGUGACGCCUGCCCGGUGCUGGAAGAUUAAAUGAUGGGGUGCAAGCUCUUGAUUGAAGUCCCAGUAAACGGCGGCCGUAACUAUAACGGUCCUAAGGUAGCGAAAUUCCUUGUCGGGUAAGUUCCGACCUGCACGAAUGGCGUAACGAUGGCCACACUGUCUCCUCCCGAGACUCAGCGAAGUUGAAAUGUUUGUGAUGAUGCAAUCUACCCGCGGCUAGACGGAAAGACCCCAUGAACCUUUACUGUAGCUUUGCAUUGGACUUUGAACCAAUCUGUGUAGGAUAGGUGGGAGGCUUAGAAGCGGGGACGCCAGUUCUCGUGGAGCCAACCUUGAAAUACCACCCUGGUUUGUUUGAGGUUCUAACCUUGGUCCGUUAUCCGGAUCGGGGACAGUGCAUGGUAGGCAGUUUGACUGGGGCGGUCUCCUCCUAAAGUGUAACGGAGGAGUUCGAAGGUACGCUAAUUACGGUCGGACAUCGUGAUGAUAGUGCAAUGGCAUAAGCGUGCUUAACUGCGAGACCGACAAGUCGAGCAGGUACGAAAGUAGGACAUAGUGAUCCGGUGGUUCUGUAUGGAAGGGCCAUCGCUCAACGGAUAAAAGGUACUCUGGGGAUAACAGGCUGAUUCCUCCCAAGAGUUCAUAUCGACGGGGGAGUUUGGCACCUCGAUGUCGGCUCAUCACAUCCUGGGGCUGUAGCCGGUCCCAAGGGUAUGGCUGUUCGCCAUUUAAAGUGGUACGUGAGCUGGGUUUAAAACGUCGUGAGACAGUUUGGUCCCUAUCUGCCGUGGGCGUUGGAAAUUUGAAGGGGGCUGCUCCUAGUACGAGAGGACCGGAGUGGAC
rnacentral:rRNA from 1 species